rnacentral:rRNA from 1 species
GAGAGUUUGAUCCUGGCUCAGGACGAACGCUGGCGGCGUGCUUAACACAUGCAAGUCGAACGGAAAGGCCCUGCUUUUGUGGGGUGCUCGAGUGGCGAACGGGUGAGUAACACGUGAGUAACCUGCCCUUGACUUUGGGAUAACUUCAGGAAACUGGGGCUAAUACCGGAUAGGAGCUCCUGCUGCAUGGUGGGGGUUGGAAAGUUUCGGCGGUUGGGGAUGGACUCGCGGCUUAUCAGCUUGUUGGUGGGGUAGUGGCUUACCAAGGCUUUGACGGGUAGCCGGCCUGAGAGGGUGACCGGCCACAUUGGGACUGAGAUACGGCCCAGACUCCUACGGGAGGCAGCAGUGGGGAAUAUUGCACAAUGGGCGGAAGCCUGAUGCAGCAACGCCGCGUGCGGGAUGACGGCCUUCGGGUUGUAAACCGCUUUCGCCUGUGACGAAGCGUGAGUGACGGUAAUGGGUAAAGAAGCACCGGCUAACUACGUGCCAGCAGCCGCGGUGAUACGUAGGGUGCGAGCGUUGUCCGGAUUUAUUGGGCGUAAAGGGCUCGUAGGUGGUUGAUCGCGUCGGAAGUGUAAUCUUGGGGCUUAACCCUGAGCGUGCUUUCGAUACGGGUUGACUUGAGGAAGGUAGGGGAGAAUGGAAUUCCUGGUGGAGCGGUGGAAUGCGCAGAUAUCAGGAGGAACACCAGUGGCGAAGGCGGUUCUCUGGGCCUUUCCUGACGCUGAGGAGCGAAAGCGUGGGGAGCGAACAGGCUUAGAUACCCUGGUAGUCCACGCUGUAAACGGUGGGUACUAGGUGUGGGGUCCAUUCCACGGGUUCCGUGCCGUAGCUAACGCUUUAAGUACCCCGCCUGGGGAG